UACGUAGGGAGCAAGCGUUGUCCGGAAUCAUUGGGCGUAAAGCGCGCGUAGGUGGCCCCAUAAGUCCGCUGUGAAAGUCAAAGGCUCAACCUUUGAAAGCCGGUGGAUACUGUGGGACUAGAGUACGGAAGAGGCGAGUGGAAUUCCUGGUGUAGCGGUGAAAUGCGUAGAGAUCUGGAGGAAUACCGAUGGCGAAGGCAGCCAUCUGGCCUAAUACUGACACUGAGGUGCGAAAGCAUGGGGAGCAAACAGG
rnacentral:rRNA from 1 species